rnacentral:rRNA from 1 species
AUUGAACGCUGGCGGCAUGCUUUACACAUGCAAGUCGAACGGUAACAGGGAGCUUGCUCCGCUGACGAGUGGCGAACGGGUGGGUAAUGCAUCGGAACGUACCCAGUCGUGGGGGAUAACGUAGCGAAAGUUACGCUAAUACCGCAUACGUCCUGAGGGAGAAAGCGGGGGACCGUAAGGCCUCGCGCGAUUGGAGCGGCCGAUGUCGGAUUAGCUAGUUGGUAGGGUAAAGGCCUACCAAGGCGACGAUCCGUAGCGGGGUCUGAGAGGAUGAUCCGCCACACUGGGACUGAGACACGGCCCAGACUCCUACGGGAGGCAGCAGUGGGGAAUUUGGACAAUGGGCGAAAGCCUGAUCCAGCCAUGCCGCGUGAGUGAAGAAGGCCUUCGGGUUGUAAAGCUCUUUCAGCCGGAAAGAAAUCGCGCAGGAUAAUAACUCUGCGUGGAUGACGGUACCGGAAGAAGAAGCACCGGCUAACUACGUGCCAGCAGCCGCGGUAAUGCUAACG